rnacentral:rRNA from 1 species
AGUCGACGAUGAAUCUUCUAGCUUGCUAGAAGUGGAUUAGUGGCGCACGCGUGAGUAAUGCAUAGGUUAUGUGCCCUUUAGUCUGGGAUAGCCACUGGAAACGGUGAUUAAUACUGGAUACUCCCUACGGGGGAAAGUUUUUCGCUAAAGGAUCAGCCUAUGUCCUAUCAGCUUGUUGGUGAGGUAAUGGCUCACCAAGGCUAUGACGGGUAUCCGGCCUGAGAGGGUGAUCGGACACACUGGAACUGAGACACGGUCCAGACUCCUACGGGAGGCAGCAGUAGGGAAUAUUGCUCAAUGGGGGAAACCCUGAAGCAGCAACGCCGCGUGGAGGAUGGAGGUUUUAGGAUUGUAAACUCCUUUUGUUAGAGAAGAUUAUGACGGUAUCUAACGAAUAAGCACCGGCUAACUCCGUGCCAGCAGCCGCGGUAAUACGGAGGGUGCAAGCGUUACUCGGAAUCACUGGGCGUAAAGAGUGCGUGGGCGGGGUAAUAAGUCAGAUGUGAAAUCCUGUAGCUUAACUACAGAACUGCAUUUGAAACUGUUACUCUGGAGUGUGGGAGAGGUAGGUGGAAUUCUUGGUGUAGGGGUAAAAUCCGUAGAGAUCAAGAGGAAUACUCAUUGCGAAGGCGACCUGCUGGAACAUUACUGACGCUGAUGCACGAAAGCGUGGGGAGCAAACAGGAUUAGAUACCCUGGUAGUCCACGCCCUAAACGAUGGAUGCUAGUUGUUGCCUUGCUUGUCAGGGCAGUAAUGCAGCUAACGCAUUAAGCAUCCCGCCUGGGGAGUACGGUCGCAAGAUUAAAACUCAAAGGAAUAGACGGGGACCCGCACAAGCGGUGGAGCAUGUGGUUUAAUUCG